GAUGAACGCUGGCGGCGUGCCUAAUACAUGCAAGUCGAGCGAACGGACGAGAAGCUUGCUUUUCUCAUGUUAGCGGCGGACGGGUAAGUAACACGUGGAUAACCUACCUAUAAGACUGGGAUAACUUCGGGAAACCGGAGCUAAUACCGGAUAAUAUUUUGAACCGCAUGGUUCAAAAGUGAAAGACGGUCUUGCUGUCACUUAUAGAUGGAUCCGCGCUGCAUUAGCUAGUUGGUAAGGUAACGGCUUACCAAGGCAACGAUGCAUAGCCGACCUGAGAGGGUGAUCGGCCACACUGGAACUGAGACACGGUCCAGACUCCUACGGGAGGCAGCAGUAGGGAAUCUUCCGCAAUGGGCGAAAGCCUGACGGAGCAACGCCGCGUGAGUGAUGAAGGUCUUCGGAUCGUAAAACUCUGUUAUUAGGGAAGAACAUAUGUGUAAGUAACUGUGCACAUCUUGACGGUACCUAAUCAGAAAGCCACGGCUAACUACGUG
rnacentral:rRNA from 1 species